rnacentral:lncRNA from 1 species
CAACAGAGUUGUUGCAGUAAACACUACCUCGCUACUGCAUAUUGGAGAAUGAUCUUCAACAUUUGCUGAAACUGCUGGAACUAAGAUAAAUUGAUAAAUGGGGCGAUUGAAGAGUCAAGUUAUAUAUGUUGCUUCACGUGCAUUGCUAAGGAUUUUGAAGAAGAAAGAGCUAGACUAGAAGUAGAAAGGACGAAGAUGUUUAAGUUACUGCUCUUUCUUGGGAAGAAGAAGCCGAUAAGCUUAUUCAAGAAGACACAAGAACAAAACAAAAAUUACCACCACUUCACUUUCUAG